rnacentral:rRNA from 1 species
AGAGUUUGAUCCUGGCUCAGGAUGAACGCUAGCGGCAGGCUUAACACAUGCAAGUCGAGGGGCAGCAUAAUGGAUAGCAAUAUCUAUGGUGGCGACCGGCGCACGGGUGCGUAACGCGUAUGCAACCUACCUUUAACAGGGGGAUAACACUGAGAAAUUGGUACUAAUACCCCAUAAUAUCAUAGAAGGCAUCUUUUAUGGUUGAAAAUUCCGAUGGUUAGAGAUGGGCAUGCGUUGUAUUAGCUAGUUGGUGAGGUAACGGCUCACCAAGGCGACGAUACAUAGGGGGACUGAGAGGUUAACCCCCCACACUGGUACUGAGACACGGACCAGACUCCUACGGGAGGCAGCAGUGAGGAAUAUUGGUCAAUGGACGCAAGUCUGAACCAGCCAUGCCGCGUGCAGGAUGACGGCUCUAUGAGUUGUAAACUGCUUUUGUACGAGGGUAAACGCAGAUACGUGUAUCUGUCUGAAAGUAUCGUACGAAUAAGGAUCGGCUAACUCCGUGCCAGCAGCCGCGGUAAUACGGAGGAUUCAAGCGUUAUCCGGAUUUAUUGGGUUUAAAGGGUGCGUAGGCGGUUUGAUAAGUUAGAGGUGAAAUGUUAGGGCUCAACCCUGAAACUGCCUCUAAUACUGUUGGACUAGAGAGUAGUUGCGGUAGGCGGAAUGUAUGGUGUAGCGGUGAAAUGCUUAGAGAUCAUACAGAACACCGAUUGCGAAGGCAGCUUACCAAACUAUAUCUGACGUUGAGGCACGAAAGCGUGGGGAGCAAACAGGAUUAGAUACCCUGGUAGUCCACGCAGUAAACGAUGAUAACUCGUUGUCGGCGAUACACAGUCGGUGACUAAGCGAAAGCGAUAAGUUAUCCACCUGGGGAGUACGUUCGCAAGAAUGAAACUCAAAGGAAUUGACGGGGGCCCGCACAAGCGGAGGAACAUGUG